rnacentral:lncRNA from 1 species
GAGUCUUCCAUAUUAUCGUUUCGAGUUGUCUCCCUUCCGGCAGUAACUUCCGUGAAUUCUGAAUAUAAACAAGACGUCGAGUAUUAGCUCGUUCUGUCAAUAAACGUCGUAUUAUAUUAAAAACGAAUGCAAUUUAAACCGAUAAAUGUGUACGGAAAGGAGCCAUGAUGACUGACCCAAAGGAAAUUAAAUAUUUAAAGAGUUAGGAAUGGGGUUCCUCCUAGAAUUAACGUAGGAAAAAAGGUGAUAAGAUACGAAUUGAAAUCUACAUCAUCUACAUCUACACUAUACGACGAUCCAUCAGCACAUUGAUGACUAUACGUCGGCGCAUCGCUAACAGACACUUAAUAAAAUAUAAUAACCAAUGAGUGAAAUAAAAUACCUUCUCUGACAUCUCUCACUCUGAGUCAGUCAGUGACUGCUGUGGAAAGUAAACUUGGUAUUGAUAGUACAAAAAUAAAACACAAUAGACCUUAAUUCAUUGUUCAUACACUUUUAUCCGGGUUUUGCUAUUUUGUAACUAUUUUACAUGUCUGUUUGUCAUUUGAAUUAGUUUUGAAAAUAAUAUUAUCCAGCUACAUGCAUACAUGUGUCAAUG